rnacentral:lncRNA from 1 species
CAAAUCAUAGUUAUAAUUUUUGAUAGCGAUACACUGAAAUAGAAGACAAAUCAGUUAACAAUAGGUUUAACAAUAUGGAAUGCAAACAUAUAAUAGAACCAGCAAACAAUAGGUUUAAGAGAUUUGUAAACACUAUAUUAAUGGAUAACAAUCGGGAUAUGGAAUAAAAGCCAUCAUAUUUGCUUAAAAGGUCUAGCUAUUAUUUAUACACACAAUUAAAGAUUUGAUUUAAAGAGACAUAAAAUUAAAAACCAGCACGAAACUGUAUUUACUGGUAAAUAAGUUUGGUGACAUGGGUAAAUCACACUGUUUCCAAAAUGUUUCCAAUUAUCUAUGUACUAACUGUUUCCAAAUCAAAAUUUAAUUUUAAUUCAUUACAAAAGCUAAACCCUAUCCACUUUUUUAUCAACACAAACCAAUAUAUAAGUUCGACUAAUUAUAAACUCUAAACCCUACCCACUAAUUAAUCAACCCAAACUUAAAUAUAAAUUCACUUAAUUAUAGAAAUCCAAACCUUAACAACAGUAUUGUCAACCCAAACUGAAAAUAAUAUCAUUUAAUACAAAAUCUAAGACCCCAGUAUUUUUCAAACCGAAACCGAGAUAUAAUUUCUUUUAACUGAAGAAACUAAACCCUAACCACUAUUUUGGUAACCCCAACCAAAAUUUUUUUAAUUAAAAAAGUAUUAACCCUAACCAGUUUUUUAUAAACACAAACAAAAAUACAAUUUAGUUUAUUUAAAAAAUCAAAAGCCUAACCAUAGUUUUAUAAACUUAAACUGAUAUAUAUUUUGAUGAAUUCGAUAGCAUUGUUCAUCGUUGAUUGUACGCAUUCGAUAACUUUUUCUAAAACAUGAUAUAGAAUACGUUAUCACGGUAAGCUUGAUUAUCUACAUAAGCCGGUAGUAUAUAUAUUAUACAAGUACGUAAAUAAAUAUGUUAGUUGAUAUCACUUUAACUAUAUAAAAUGACCCAAUGAAUUUAAACUUAUCAGUUAUAUUUCCUAUUAUCUAUGUACUAAUUGUUUCCAAAUAAAAAUAUAAUUUUGCUUCAUUACAAAAGCUAAACCACAUCCACUAUUUUAUCAACGGGAAAAUGUCAAAUAAUUCGCCAACUUUCAAAUUUGCGACAAAAAAUCCGUGAACUUUGAUGGUGCCAUUUUAACCAACAACUUUCUGUUGACUUUCCUCUAAAAUGGCAAAGUUUUGUUGACCGGGCUGAUUUAUUCUUGGGGUUAAGUCUCCGUGACGAGCUUAAGAACGGGGUUAACUGCCCGUUAGUCGUUUCCGUCUGUGGUUAAUCGUUGCGUUUUACAUAGACGAAGAAGCUUAACAGACAUAAUCCCCAAAUUGAUUUUUGCUUUCAACCCUAGAAAAUUGAAAUCUCUCUCAAAUCUCUUCUGAAAUUUGCGAUGGCACGAACCCGUGGAGGAAGGCAAACGAAAGAGACGUCAAUGGAGAUGAGAUCGUGGAUAUUAACGGUCUCAUCUUCAUUGACGUCUCUUUCGUUUGCCUCUGACUCGUAGGUCUGCAAGAUUGAGUUUGUCAUAGGAGGCAAAUGAAAGAGACGUCAAUGGAGAUGAGACUGGUCUGCAAGAUUGAGUUUUUUAUAGGAGGCAAAUGAAAGAGACGUCAAUGGAGAUGAGACCAUUAAUAUCGAAGGAGACGUCAAUGGAGAUGAGAUCGUGGAUAUUGUUCAGACGACAGAGACAUUAGAAGAAAUGGAGAUAGAGACAGGACAGGCAAUGGAGACAGAGAGAGGAGAGGCAGUGGAGACCCAAAUAGAGGCAGAGAAAAACAACUCAGCAGAGAGUGAGCCGGUGGAAAAUGCACCAGUCGUAGUAGACAGUGAGGCGGUUUCAAACCCACCCGAAGCAGCGAAUAAGGUGGUUGGUCAACCCAAAGAGAAAAGGAAAUAUCGCAAAAGGAAGAAAGGUUAAGAUAUUGAAGAAGAUCGUGAGGCUAUUAGUGGGGAUGACUGUGCAGUAGCACUGUAGCAGGCGAUGAAGACUCUGAUGAGAUUGGUUAUGCAGACGUGGAAAACAGAAACAGUGAAGCAGUUCCUCUAUCAGAGCAAUCGACGGUUGUAGCUGUUCCUGAACCAAUUGGAAGUGUAGAAGACAAUAGGGAAGAAAAUGUAGGCGUACAAAACAAUUGGGAGCCAAAUCUUGGUGUAGAGACAAACAAUUGGGAGCCAAAUGUUGGUGUAGAGACAAACAAUUGGGAGCCAAAUGUAGGUGGAGAUGGUGAAGAAGGUGUAGGUGUGGUGGAAGAAAAUUUUAAAGACUUUGAAGCUGAAUUUGGAACAGAUGCAAGUGAAGAGGAUGUUGGAGAUGAUGAUGAUAGUGGAUAUGAGAUUUGGGAUGAGCAGAGGAUACCAGAACCUCUGUCCAGCGAUGAUGAAGACAAUGGUGAUGAAGAUAAGUUCGACUAAUUAUAAACUCUAACCACUACUUAAUCAACCGAAGCCUAAAUAUAAAUACACUUAAUUACAGAAAUCUAAAACCUGACCUCAGUAUUGUCAACCCAAACUGAAUAAUAAUAUCAUUUAAUUACAUAAUCUAAAACCCCAAUAUUUUUCCAUCCGAAACAAAAAUAUAAUUUCUUUUAACGAAAGAAACUAAACCCUAACCACUAUUUAGUCAACCCCAACGAAAAUAUAAUUUCGUUUAAUUAAAAAAUCUAAACCCUAACUAGUUUUAUAAACACAAACAAAAAUACAAUUUAGUUUAAUUUAAAAAUCAAAAGCCUAACUUCAGUUUAUUAACUGAAACCAAUAUAUAUUUUGAUCAAUUCGAUAACAUUGUUCAUCGUUGAUUGAAAGCAUUUGAUAACUAUUUCUAAAACAUGUUAUGGAAUCUGUUAUUAAGGUAAGUUACAUAUUAUCCGUAGGCUUGAUUAUGUAUAUAAACUGGUAAUAUAUAUAUUAUGCAAGUACGUAAAUAUAUAUGUUAGUUGAUAUCACUUUAACUAGAUAAAUAUGAAUAAUUACUUUAUCUAGAUAAUUAUGAGUUUAACAAUUAACUAAUAAUUUAUAACCGUAACAUAUGAAAACCUAUAUAUAAUUUAACUAGAUAACUAUGAAUUGAUCAAAUACCUUGGAUCAAAUGAGGCUCUAGGCGGGCUAACUGGUAGGUUGGACUUGGUAGGUGUCCUGACUGAUGCACUCCUCCCUAAACCACUAGGCAUGGCUGUAGUGGAGGUUGAGCAUCCGACCUUGUUCUGAAGCUCCUUGAUCUGCUCUCCCAUAUCCUUAACUGUUCCAGCAAGAUCCUUCACAGUGUUCUUCAAUGCCUUGAUAGUCUUGCUUUGGAACUUGUUCCACUUCUGAAGGAUGCUAAUCUUUUUAUGAGCUUCCGUUACCCCCCUUGACUGCCUAGAGGACUCUUCCCACUCG